UAAGGAAUUUUGGUCAAUGGGCGCAAGCCUGAACCAUCCAUCCCGCGUGCAGGAAGACGGCCCUAUGGGUUGUAAACUGCUUUUCCAGGGGGAGAAACUUGCGCACGUGUUGCGCAAUUGACGGUACCCUGGGAAUAAGCAUCGGCUAACUCCGUGCCAGCAGCCGCGGUAAUACGGAGGAUGCGAGCGUUAUCCGGAUUCAUUGGGUUUAAAGGGUGCGUAGGCGGACUAUUAAGUCAGUGGUGAAAUCCUGCAGCUUAACUGCAGAACUGCCAUUGAUACUGAUAGCCUUGAGUUUGGUUAAGGUAGGCGGAAUGUGUAAUGUAGCGGUGAAAUGCUUAGAUAUUACACAGAACACCAAUUGCGUAGGCAGCUUACUGAGCCGACACUGACGCUGAGGCACGAAAGCGUGGGGAUCGAACA
rnacentral:rRNA from 1 species